rnacentral:rRNA from 1 species
GUCCACGCCCUAAACGAUGUCUACUAGUUGUUGGGCUUUUCGGAGCUUAGUAACGCAGCUAACGCGUGAAGUAGACCGCCUGGGGAGUACGGUCGCAAGACUAAAACUCAAAGGAAUUGACGGGGGCCCGCACAAGCGGUGGAUGAUGUGGAUUAAUUCGAUGCAACGCGAAAACCUUAACCUGGUCUUGACAUGUACGGAAGUCCGUAGAGAUAUUGAUGUGCCUUCGGGAACCGGUAACACAGGUGCUGCAUGGCUGUCGU